CUAACACACGUUGUGCAUGGCAACAGAUGGGAAGUAUAUGCCAAUCAUGCAUCUACAGCUACAUUGAAGAUGACAUCCUUGAAGAUGACUCACUAAUAGCCCAGAAUGACAACAGGGAUGAAGAGCUGAACGAUGACCUUUUGUGUAGCGAUGAGGAGGACCUAACUGCUGG